CCCCUGGCUCAGACAAGGGAGGUGGUGGACUGGCCAUGGCAGCUGUCCAGACUUGAUAUCACCCUGAACGUCCCCAAACCUCCCUCCCUCCACUCUUGCUUCGCCCUGACCAGAGAUGGAGGGUGGUGCUGGGAAUAGGAGGUAGGUGAGUGCCUGUCCUGGCCAACAGCAGAGGCCCUCGAGGGAAACUGCACCGCAGGUGUCACUCUAGAGCCCACAGCGGGGGCUGUCAACCUGGAGUGUGCAGCAGAAUCGCCUACAGCCCUCUGGCCCAGCCCCAGUGACUCUGGGUGAGUGGGUCUGGGGUGCAUUUCAAACAAGUUUCCAGGCGCUGCUGCCGCCAGUCCUAUCUGGAGACGACUCUCUGAGAAGCACAAGGUGGCCAGAGGGACAGGAGUGUCCUCAGACCGCCUCUCCCAGAGAGUGGGCCUCCUCAGUCCGCACCCCAGACAGGAUAUGCCAGCCUUGAAGCCUCUGUGGACAUCUCCAUGCUCAGGGGCGAUGCCCGGCCUCUGCCAACCACGCCAGCUUAGAUGAAGUCCAGGCACCUCCCUCAGUUCACCGUGUGCCCCUGAGCGAGUCUCUCGCCCACUCUGAGCCUCAGUUUCCUUAUCUGCACAGUGAGGAGGGGAGCAAGGCCACGUGCAGCUAUUUGAGCAGGACUUGCAGGAGCUGACACCAAGUGCAAACCAGACGACCCAGGCCGAUGGCGC
rnacentral:lncRNA from 1 species